rnacentral:misc_RNA from 1 species
GGAAGGAUCAUUAGGUAUUUUUUUGGGGGGGUCUUGCGAGUUGUUGCGAGCGAUAGCGAGCAUCAGCGAGCAAGUUUGGGGUUGGCCGUUUGGGCUGGCUCUGGCAAUGGACCCCCGCCUUGAAACUGUCCGAGCAAUAUAAAAAGUAUUUGGGAGGCGAUGUAGAUUGUCUCCCAGCAAUAAAGACUUUAGAUGGUACUAGACACACACAAUAUAUACAACUUUUAAUAACGGAUCUCUUGGCUCUUGCAUCGAUGAAGAACGUGGCAAAAUGCGAAAAUUAAUGUGAAUUGCAGAAUUCGUGAAUCAUCAAGUCUUUGAACGCAACUUGCGCUAGAUUAUAUCAGUCUAGCAUGGAUGGGUGAGAAUUUGAAGCGAGUCUGGCGUGGGGAUUUGAAUUUGAUUGGGGUUAUUUAAAUUUAUUCAAAUAAUCUCAUCUCAUUCAAAACCGCCAGGACGGUGCGUCAACUACUGGGUUGAUGUUUAAUUUGACUUGAAUUAACAUUGCGCAAGCAUUGGAUUUAGAGUAAUCGCAAUUCUUUGUGUGUCGAUGGUUGAUUCUGGGGUUGGUUAGGGGUUGGUUGGGCCAAGGCUGAACUGGGCCAAGGCUGAACUGGGCCAAGGCUGAACUGGGCCAAGGCUGAACUGGGCCAAGGCUGAACUGGGCCAAGGCUGAACUGGCCAAGGCUGAACUAGACCAAACCACACCCAAAACAACAACAAAUCUCACCUCAUCUAGGAUUACCCGCUGAACUUAAGCAUAUCAUUAAGCGGAGGAAAAGAAACUAACUAGGAUUCCCCCAGUAACGGCGAGUGAAGCGGGAAGAGCUCAAGCCUUGAAUCCCCAGAAUGUGGGGAGUUGUAGUCUUUUGGCCGAUGGUUUCACCAAGCGCGGCGGCAAAAGUGCGUUUGAAUACGCCACCGGAGAGGGUGCAAGUCCCGUCCCAGGCCAGCGCGCGUGCGGAGCAGCAAACCAUGGGCGGCGAGUCAGGUUGUUUGGGAAUGCAGCCUAAAUGCGGGUGGUAAACUCCAUCCAAAGCUAAAUACUGGCAAGAGACCGAUAGCGAACAAGUACCGUGAGGGAAAGAUGAAAAGCACUUUGAAAAGAGGGUGAAAAGUACGUGAAAUUAUUAAAAGGGAAACGCUUGGACAGGCGGAAUUGAGCAUUGGUUUUUGGCGGGUGAGGCGCGGGGGGUGGGGGGGACCAGUUUUCUGAGCUGGUCCGCCAGCCGUCCAGCAGCAACGGCCAGCCAGGGACCAAGGACAGCCGGGGGCGGAGGGUGUGUGGCAGACAGCAAUGUGUGCGGCGCGCUGGCCCUGCGACGGAUGCUCGUGGCCGGUUUAAUCGACCCGUCUUGAAACACGGACCAAGGAGUCUAGCAUGCUUGCGAGUGUCAGAGCAGUGAUAAACUCUAGCGCGCAAGGAAAGUGGAUUGGAUGCGAACGGCUUUGGCUGGGCAGCAUCGGCCGGUCCUGCCGGAUCGAGUCAGAGCAGGCAUGCUGGGACCCGAAAGAUGGUGAACUAUGCCUGAAUAGGGUGAAGCCAGAGGAAACUCUGGUGGAGGCCCGCAGCGGUUCUGACGUGCAAAUCGAUCGUCGAAUUUGGGUAUAGGGGCGAAAGACUAAUCGAACCAUCUAAGUAGCUGGUUCCCGC